CUCGAGGAGGAGGAUUUUCGAGAAGUCUGCGGAGCAGAGGAGCUCGGAGUAAUAUCAUUACAUCAUUAUCAUUUCACUUCCAUAUUCAUUACAUUAUAUCAAAGGCCAAUAGAGCAUUAAAUUAGAGGAAAAGACUAUAGCUUGCUGAAGAAAAUCAUAGCGCGAACGAGUACACGAACACCUGAUGGAGCUUCUUAAGUCGACACGAAAAGAGAAUAGUCCUCAUCGUCGUCAUAAUACACUCGGGGAAAAAGUGGCGAAAGUCGAGGGUGAGAAGGAAUAUCGUCUCGAGUCAAGACGUCGAGGAAAACGAUAUGAUUCUCAACCUCGUACAUAUUCAGGAAUAGAACGGCAACACUGUACGAAGAAUUAAUUACGACGAUAUUCCAAAUAGUCCACAUAGCGAAUGCAACCGAUCAGUUGAUGCCAAGCGACUAGUUUGGGACGCUGACGGAUUACGAUAAAUGCGAUUAAGCGAUGCAGUCGACACGGUUGCUCGAUAUAUUGAUUAAUCAACCGAGAUAAAAUAAGCGUCCAUUUCCGUGAAUUUCCAUUUUCGAUCGAAUCAUAUCGACUAGAAAGACACUAGAAAGAAACUUAUAAGUAUAACUCGGAAAAAUGGAAUAAUUGAUCGAAGUAAUUUAAAAAAGAGAAUUCGAUAUUCGAUUCAAUAAAAUUAUAAAAAUGAAAGAUGGCGAUCAUUCAAAUGCUCGAUUUUUGAUUUAUUUCCGAAUAGGUUUUCCGCAAUCCGAUAUGGCAUUAAUUUAUUUAUAAAAUAAAUAUAUCUAACUAUCACGAUAUCUGUUAUCGUCAGAACUUCCGUGUCAUCUGCGCUGAUUAACCUCAUUACAACGGCUGGCCCUCAUUUCUGUUCCCAUUCCCAAUAUAGAUACAUACAUAGCAUAUCUAAAAAAUAAUAGAACUGACAAUAAAAAGAUCCAGUGAAAACCAGAAUAUAAUAUAUAUAUUACAUUU